rnacentral:rRNA from 1 species
UACGAAGGGGGCUAGCGUUGCUCGGAAUUACUGGGCGUAAAGGGCUCGUAGGCGGCCAACUAAGUCAGACGUGAAAUCCCCAGGCUCAACCUGGGAACUGCGUCUGAUACUGGAUGGCUUGAAUCCGGGAGAGGGAUGCAGAAUUCCAGGUGUAGCGGUGAAAUGCGUAGAUAUCUGGAGGAAUACCGGUGGCGAAGGCGGCAUCCUGGACCGACAUUGACGCUGAGGAGCGAAAGCUAGGGGAGCAAACGGG